UCUGCCCGCUCGCUACAGGCUUAACACAUGCAAGUCGAGGGGCAGCAUGGUCUUAGCUUGCUAAGGCCGAUGGCGACCGGCGCACGGGUGAGUAACACGUAUCCAACCUGCCGUCUACUCUUGGACAGCCUUCUGAAAGGAAGAUUAAUACAAGAUGGCAUCAUGAGUCCGCAUGUUCACAUGAUUAAAGGUAUUCCGGUAGACGAUGGGGAUGCGUUCCAUUAGAUAGUAGGCGGGGUAACGGCCCACCUAGUCUUCGAUGGAUAGGGGUUCUGAGAGGAAGGUCCCCCACAUUGGAACUGAGACACGGUCCAAACUCCUACGGGAGGCAGCAGUGAGGAAUAUUGGUCAAUGGGCGCAGGCCUGAACCAGCCAAGUAGCGUGAAGGAUGACUGCCCUAUGGGUUGUAAACUUCUUUUAUAAAGGAAUAAAGUCGGGUAUGUAUACCCGUUUGCAUGUACUUUAUGAAUAAGGAGCGGCUAACUCCGUG
rnacentral:rRNA from 1 species